AAUAGUUUUAUGUCACAUCAGUUUUUUUAUCCUGAAUUUCAGAAUUUUUAUUCUGAAAAAAAUCAAAUCCAAAUUAAAAUCCUAAAAUUCAGGAUAAGAAUACUGAUGUGGCAUAAAACUAUU
rfam:Gossypium hirsutum cultivar TM-1 chromosome 2, whole genome shotgun sequence